rnacentral:rRNA from 1 species
AAUAUUGGUGCCAUGGUCGAAUGAAUGGAACCACCCAGGUGGCGUGAAGGAGGACGCCGUCGGGUAGUAAAGUUCUUUUGUAUGGGAAAAAAAUCUUUUACCAGUAAUUGUGUGGCUGACCCGAUAAAGAGGAUCCGGCUUAUUUCCGCCAGCAGCCGCGGUAAUACGGGAGAUGCCAGCGUUAUCCGGAAUUAUUGGGUGUAAAGGGUGCGUAGGCGGUUCUAUCAGUCAGUAGUGAAAUCUCGAAGCCCAACCUUGGAACUGCCAUUGAAACUGUCGAGCUGAGUUCAGAGAGGCAGGAAAAUUGCGUUUGUAGCGAUAAAUUCGUAGAUUUUAACACAAACAACAGAUGAGGAAGCCACUUUGCCAGACUAUAACUGCGGUGGGGGCAGAAAGCGGGGGGACAAACCAGGAUUAAUCCCUUGGUCUCCACGCCGUC